rnacentral:rRNA from 1 species
AGGACGAACGCUGGCGGCGUGCCUAACACAUGCAAGUCGAGCGGAGUUGACAAGAGGAAGUUUCGGAUGGAAUUUGUUAAUUAGCGGCGGACGGGUGAGUAACGCGUGAGCGACCAACCUUGCACAGGGGGAUAACGGACCGAAAGGUUCACUAAUACCGCAUGAGACCACGGUGUUGCAUGACACAGGGGUCAAAGGAGUAAUCCGGUGCAAGACGGGCUCGCGUCCGAUUAGGUAGUUGGAGGGUAACGGCCCACCAAGCCUAUGAUCGGUAGCCGACCUGAGAGGGUGAUCGGCCACAUUGGAACUGAGAUACGGUCCAAACUCCUACGGGAGGCAGCAGUGGGGAAUAUUGGGCAAUGGGGGGAAACCCUGACCCAGCAACGCCGCGUGAAGGAAGAAGGUUUUCGGAUUGUAAACUUCUGUCCUUGGUGAAGAGAAGAAGACGGUAGCCAAGGAGGAAGCCCCGGCUAACUACGUGCCAGCCGCCGC